GAUGAACGCUAGCGACAGGCCUAACACAUGCAAGUCGAGGGGCAGCGUACAUGUAGCAAUACAUUGGUGGCGACCGGCGCACGGGUGAGUAUCGCGUAUGCAACCUACCUACUACAGGGGAAUAGCCUUCCGAAAGGGAGAUUAAUACCGCAUAACACAGGGGCUCCGCAUGGAGAUAUUUGUUAAAGAUUUAUCGGUAGUAGAUGGGCAUGCGUUCCAUUAGCUAGUUGGCGGGGUAACGGCUCACCAAGGCAACGAUGGAUAGGGGAACUGAGAGGUUUGUUCCCCAGGAUGGUACUACGACACGGACCAGACUCCUACGGGAGGCAGCAGUAUGGAAUAUUGGGCGAUGGGCGAGAGCCUGAACCAGCCAAGUCGCGUGAAGGAUGACGGUUCUAUGGAUUGUAAACUGCUUUUGUACGAGGGUAAAGUGAGCUACGUGUAGCUUAUUGCAAGUAUCGUACGAAUAAGCAUCGGCUAACUCCGUGCCAGCAGCCGCGGUAACAC
rnacentral:rRNA from 1 species